GUGCCUCGCCACGAGCUCAACUCGUCGUCCGCCGUCGUCGCGAGGUGAGCUUCGUCUACCCCGGUCUACCCUUCGUCUACCCCAGCGCACGUCUCGCCUGUGCUCUUCGUGCGUCGCCGUUCGAGCGAGUCGCGAUUCUCGCGCUUUAAUAAAAUUGGUUCGCCACAUCGUUCAUUUUAAAUAAUUUAUUUUGGUUUAGUGGUCGGUUAUUAAAAAUAGAAAUUCAAUUGAAUCUAAUUUAUAAUUUUAUUUUCUUGUGUGUAAAUACCUGUUAUCGUGAUUAUACCAACUUAAAUGUUGUAUUCAAUAUUUGGUUAAUAUAAAACGACACAAUUUAGUAUCAUUCAUAUAUCGCGUCGUUUAUUAGCCACGAGUUGUUAGUUAUUCCAUAUAUUUGCGUCAUGUACCUAUUUCUAACCGUUCAGUUAUGUUAACUUUAUAAUAACAACGUCUACGUCUACACGUUAGAAACAUAUUGUGUCAUGACGCAUGUUGCACUAAUGUAUUAAAAGAUUAUGUUUAUGUGAUUGUAAUUUAAAUAGCAAUUUAAUUAGAACUAAUUUAUAGUUUUAAGUUGCGUUUUUUAAUACAUGUUAACAUGAUUAAUCCCAUACUGAAAUAUUUUGAAUUAAUACUUGUUAAGUAUAAUCACGACAUCUAUUAGUGGUGCUCGUGUGUCGUGUGUGAUGUUUAUGAGUUAUUCGCGUGUGUUGUCUCGCGUGUAUCUUGCGUGUCGAUCACGUGUGUCGCGCGACGUCUGCGCGUGAUAAUAAAUUAUUUUCGUUUAUAAAUACUCAUGUUAGUAACCUUAAUUCGUCGGGUCACAUAUUUUAGAUAAUUAACUUAAGGCUUGCUUGACUAAUAUUUAUUAGAUUAAUAUUCCAGUCGGAUUAAAUGUAUAGUGUUCAACUUGUGCUUUUAUAAUAAACAUUAACAUAGCUAAUAUUAACUUAACUAUUUUUUAUUUAUUUAAUAUUUGUUUAGUAUAAAUGCAUCCUCUAUUUAGUACUUUCUCGCAUGUCGCGCGUGCUGUUCCGCACGUGGUGGCGUUCUCGUUCGCGCUGAUCGCGCGCGUUGUUUUGUGUGUCGUCGGCGUGCUAUGUCGCGCGUGUCCGUGAGUCGUUUGCAAGUUGUCGUAUUGGGUUCGCCAUCGUCAUGUUGUCCGCGCGUUCCGCACGUGGUGUGCGCGCUAGGUCGCGUGCAGUCGUGUUGUUUCACGCGUUACGUCUCACUCCGCUAAUUCGUCCCGCUUAGAGUCACUUGUAUUAUUUAAAUUACUUAUUUAACUAAGAAUUGUUAGUGUGAUCAGUUAAUUAAAAUUAUGUGAUAGCUCUAGUUUCAUUUUAAAUAAAUAUUGAUUAAUAUAAUCUUGUCGAAUGUUAUAGUUAAUAUUUAUUUAGUGUAAACGCGAUAACUUCUCGACCGUAGCUCCAACUAUCGCGUUUCUUUUUCCUCGUGUGACCGUAGUAACACGCUCUAUUUUGUUUUGCAUGUUUUAUGAUGUUUUGAUUUGAAUGAUGUAAUGUUCUAAUGUAUAUAUAUAUAUAUAUAUAUAUAUAUAUAUAUAUAUAUAUAUAUAUAUAUAUAUGUCUGUUUGUUUGUUUGUGCCAGUAUAUAUUCGCUAUGCGUCACGAAUAGAUUGUGACCCGUUUCCGAGCUUCAAGGGAUCAAAGGUCAAGCUUUGGCGACCAAGCGAUCUGGCUCUUCGAGUUCCACAAAGUUGAAGACCCUGAGCAUCUGUUUGGUGAAGGCAAGUGUCCUCUGACCUAUUAUGUCCUAUAUACUAAUUAUUGGUUGCCUUCGUCUUCCGAAGGUCCUCAAAACAUGACUAACAUGCUUUCCAAGUAUAAUAUAUUGUCACAGGAACCUUCGGCCUUGAGAUGAAGGUGUGCACGGUAUGAAAGACGCGGUCUAGGAGAAGGAUGAACCAGUUCCGAAGCUAUGAAUGAAGAAGCUUCGGCUUAGGGCAAGGGCAGCGAUGGAAAAUAGAACCGACCUAAAGGGGAAUAUACUGCCCAGUUCUCGACAGAUUACUUCUUAGUCAGUAGUAAGUGUCAAGGACAUGGAUGUAAUUUUACCUAGGCUGCGUCCUGUGCCUAUAAAUAGAUGAACAGUAACACCGUACUGUUCAUGCUGACUUAUACUCACUUGCACAUCACUCCUGGAUUUUUACCUUCUGCCAAGCCGAAGGUACAAAUGUAAUUCAAU
rnacentral:lncRNA from 1 species